GUGGGUGGGUGGGGGGUGUGACAGAGCAUCAUGUUUGUUAUUCUGCCUUAAAUUUCUACUUACUGUCUUUUUCUUCUCUGUCUUCCAAUCACUUUAAUAUCUUCAAUUUUCAAACUAUAUUUGUACUUGGGCUUAGAUAGAAAGUCUUACACAAGCAUAGUAUCUUCUACUUUGGUUUUCCCUACCUUUUCUUCCCCACCUUCUCCAAACACACAUAUACAUACUCUACUCAAUUCUAUUUCUGAUUUUGUAGUUGUUAGUUGUCCAUGCUCAGGAUAAAAAAUGAGUGGGUAGGGUUGAGGGACUGGUUCUUUGAGGUUCUGCCCUUUUUCCAUGAUUCAGACCAACUUUCUCUUGGUCAUUUCUGGAGUAUAACUGACUCAAUUCUUGUAAAAAUGUGUUCCACCCAAACCACUGUAUGUUCUUUUCCCUACUUUAUUUUCUCCUACCUUCCUUCUCCUAAUUGUGUUACAAGAGGCAGCCAUAGCAAGAAUGGAAAAUCCAGAUCAGUAAAAGAUUCAACAAAAAAAA
ensembl:lncRNA novel transcript, antisense to CFAP126